CCCAGGAAUGUCCCUACAAGAUCAAGUCUGAAGUGCAUAUGAAAACAUGAGCAAGAAGACAAUGAACUGCCAGUGUAAUACUGAAAGAAGGAAUGCAAAGGGAAGUUCCAUGGAUUGCAGUGUUUUUUGGACUCACAUAUGGUUCCUGGUAUCUUUUUCUGGCUCUGCACAGAAAAACAUUCACUGAAACAUAUGAAAUCUACCUUAGAUCCACACUUACGUCAGUAGGUCUGAGAGCAAUAACAGUGGAGCAGUAGCGAAGAAACAGCUGGGGCUGUGAGAAGAUGCUGUGGAGAAGAUUGUUUUGCCAACAGAGAUGACUAUGUUUCAACUCAUUGUACUUUCCCACCUCCUCCCCCUUCAGCCUCCUCCCCAGUCCUUCACUGACUUUUCAUCUUUGCUCAUGGUUGGCAGCAUAAGGUAGCUCCCAUUUCCAUCCUGCUUACACUCCCUGAUGUGAUUCCUGCAGGAGCUGAU
rnacentral:lncRNA from 1 species